GUGUGAACAGGCGGACGACCUGCUCAACCUGGUGGUGGAGCUCAAGGAGGAGGUGGAGAGGUUGAGGGCCAUCAGAGAGUGCGAGCGGGAGACAGACCUGUGUGGCAACUCCCUGCAAAGCUUGAAGUAAAGGAACUGGGGUGAAACACCCCAAACAGUGGUGGACCCUCUGCCCUGCCGAGCAGAGGGAGGGGACCUAGGAGAUGAGGAGGAAUGGAAACAGGUCCCUGCUUGACGUCACAGGCAGCCUCCCCUCCCUACCGGCCCUGCCUCCCCAUGUGCCCAUACACAAUAGGUUUGAGGCCCUGGAGCUUGAGAGACCGGUGGGUGAGGAUGAGGUGAACAGUCUACCCAGGAGGCUGCCUAGGGCGAGGAAGUCGACUCCAUGCCUCAGGACUGCCUCCACCAAGAAAGACAGAAGGGUGAUCGUUGUAGGCGACUCCCUUCUCAGGGGAACGGAGGGGCCUAUUUGUCGACCUGACUCUACCUGUAGGGAAGUCUGCUGCCUCCCUGGGGCCAGGGUCAGGGACAUUGCCAGAAAGCUUCCUAACCUGGUUUGCCCCUCCAACUACUAUCUUUUUUUGAUAGUCCAGGCUGGCAAAGAUAAUAUUGAAGAGAGAAGCCUGAAGGCUAUCAAAUGGGACUUUAGGGGACUGGGACGAUUAGUAGAUGGAGCGGGAGCACAGGUCGUGCUUUCCUCCAUCCCUGCAGUGGCAGGGAGGGGUACAGAGAGGACUCGGAAAGCCCACCUGAUAAACAGGUGGCUCAGAGGCUGGUGCCAACACAGAAAUUUUGGGUUUUUUGACGAUGGGGCGCUUUACUCGGCACCCGGCCUACUAACUUCAGAUGGGUCCCACCUGUCUCGAAGGGGAAAACAGACACUACUGCAGGAGCUGGAAGGGCUCAUUGAGAGGGCUUUAAACUAGAUAAGAAGGGGGACAGGAAUGGGGGGAGAAUAAGGCUCGUUAGAGGUGUGCAAGGGAGAACAAUGUCAGGGAUGGGGGAGAAGGCAAUGGACCAGCUGAAGUGCAUCUACACUAAUGCACGCAGCAUGGGUAACAAACAGAAGGAGCUGGAAGCCAUCNNNNN
rnacentral:lncRNA from 1 species